UAGUCCACGCCGUAAACGAUGGACACUAGUUGUUGGAAUUAUUCAGUGACUAAGCGAAAGUAAUAAGUGUCCCACCUGGGGAGUACGAUCGCAAGAUUGAAACUCAAAGGAAUUGACGGGGGCCCGCACAAGCGGUGGAGCAUGUGGUUUAAUUCGAUGAUACGCGAGGAACCUUACCAGGGCUUAAAUGUAGACUGACAGCUUUAGAGAUAGAGUUUUCUUCGGACAGUUUACAAGGUGCUGCAUGGUUGUCGUCAGCUCGUGCCGUGAGGUGUCAGGUUAAGUCCUAUAACGAGCGCAACCCCUAUCGUUAGUUGCUAGCAGGUAAAGCUGAGGACUCUAGCGAGACUGCCGGUGCAAACCGCGAGGAAGGUGGGGAUGACGUCAAAUCAUCACGGCCCUUACGUCCUGGGCUACACACGUGCUACAAUGGGCGAGACAAUGAGCUGCAAACUUGCGAAAGUUAGCUAAUCUAUAAACUCGUUCUUAGUUCGGAUUGUAGG
rnacentral:rRNA from 1 species